CAGGCACUGUAAAAGCUUUACAGUAGGCUAGAAGGCUAUCUACWGGACUUCUGAUGGUGACGACUCUCGGCGAUGCAAUUGUAGGAUUGUAAACAGUGCGCUUUUAGACAGUGUACUUAAAUGGAUGGAGACGUUAUGGACCUCAGAGGAACACAAUAACAUUUGGAAAGUUUCACCAAAUGCCCUCUCGGUACUCAGAGGACUUUUUAAUUUAGGCGGCAAUUCUGCCACACAUUUUUAGAUUUCGUUUUUUUUCAUUAUUCCGUUGUGCCACAGAGAGAAUGACCGCUUUCACCCCGUGCAUAAAUGAACCUAAUUAUUGUACGAGCUACUGCGUGGAGACAAGUUAAUGUUUAACUUCUGAGUUCUUAGAUUUCUUGGUGGGGGGCCAACGCGAACUGGAAAUGGGAACGUGCCUUUGCUGUGCCUUGUAAGUUUUUACAGCCUGGUGCCAAGGAACAACAACAACAACAUGGGUAGCGGUAGUAGUCGAGGAAAGAAGGUUGCUCCUGCCAGUGUCAACGAGAUAAACUCAUUCAGAAGAGAUGACAACACAGUCCACGUUUUGAAAGAGGAAAGACACGUGUUCAAACCAUUGAAAAUAACCAAAUCUACGAAUUUAAGUCAGUCACGAAAUAGAGCACAACAAGACUGCCACAGUGAAGGACACGAUUCUGAAUUUUCUGUAGAGGAUGAUGACAUUGAUGUGGAACUGAAUCGAGUUCUACAGGAAUAUGACAAUCGGGAAUUGCGUUCCAAGAGGAAAACGUAUCAAACGAAACCUUUCAUCAGGUCUAAUACAUAUGGGUUAUGUCAUUCCAGUCGAGUCCACAAUGAAAGCGUUUUCAAUUCAACCCCUCACUGGCAGAGUUCUGAAUUGUCGGAGGGGCCUGGGGCAUGUUGUCCAUAUAACGGUUCUGUUGGAGUCGAGGACAAGAAAAGCAUCCCGGUCUUCAACCAGUUUUGCAAAAUUACACAAAUUCAGUUCUCAAGCGGCACUCAGGAAAAUGACUUGUUGACAACGGGGUCAGCUUGUGUGGAGUCAGUGCCUCGAGCAGAAACAGACUCAGUCCUGGACGAUGGCAAUGGUCCCUCUCUCUCCAUGCCUGUCAUUCUGUAUGAUGGAUCAGAAGUGGACCUGAUGGAGACCAUAGAGAGAGAGUUUAGUUGACCUCACAGGAGAGACUAAAAUAGCAGGAUAACUUUUUAACCAAAUAUUCGUUUUUUGAAUGGAUGGUGAAGGUGCAUAAUGAUGGAGGAAUUCAGAUAUGAUGCCAUUGUUUUAGCACUACCACAUAUUUUUUUWAAGUAACUGGCCAGUGUUUACAGAUUUAUAUGAAAUAGGACCUAUAAUUAACUACAAUAUGAAUUUAAUAAUUGUCCUUAAAAAAGUUGGCAAUUAAGUAUGUUAAAAAGCUGUUUUUCUGUGUUGAAAUGGUGUGGGCGUACUACAACAACAGAAUGGUGUGGGCAUAUACCYUUCAUUAAAAAUGUUAAGGCGAGUAGACUGCUGAUUGCCCAGCUGCCAUCUUCCUCUAUGAGGAAAUAGUAGGUGGUUUUUUUAGGUGGUUUUUUUCUUCUCCAAUUUAUGCUUUUGCCAAAAAUUUGAGUAUAGAAUGAGUCAAAAACAUUUGAGUUAAGAGAAUAUUAACUUUUAAAAGUGAGAUUAUCACAGGAUAGUUUAUAAUAGGAUACGUGACAUGGUUCAAUGUGCCAAUAAAUCAGCACAAUCUACUUUUUAGUUUUUUCCAAUUGCCGCCAUCUUGGAGCUAAAAUCGGGAUCAAGUUUACUGUGCUAAAGCAGAUACAAAAAAAAAAAUUGUAAUAGAGAGCAUUAUACAAUAUAGCAAACUCUUUA